CUGAACCUGACAAGGAAGGAGGUGCACUGAGGGCAUGAUGUGAAAAGAUCUGCAUUUGUGCUAUUAAACCCUUUCACCUCCAGAAGAGGGCAUCCCCUUCCCAUCUGCCUUUUGGAUUCAGGCCCUGAAACAUUCAAAUUCCUGAAGAACACCCAAGAGUGGGCUGGGUAGGUGAUGUGUGACUAAAACUGUGUCAGGAAUUGUUCUACCACUUUACCACUAUUUAGAUGGAGUUGUAUGCCUGAGGAAAGUCCUUGGACAAUCAACUUAGUAAAUUUGCUGCAACCAUCCAACCUGUGAAAGCGAGAAGAGCAGCCCUCAAUUCUGCACCUCUUCAGCUCCAUCAGGUUUCACGAGCCUUGGGCAGAUCAUCUUCUUGUGUCUAAACUUUUUGAGUAAGGGAAGAUCUUACCUGCAGGAAGGAUGGGGACUAGAUAUAUUGAUGAGAGCGAUGAGAGGUGGCAGCCAUCCUCAAUCCAGUAUUAUCGCUGUUCCCUCCCAUUGAUACCGUUGACAUCAAAUGAUCUAUGGGUAAUUCAAGCAAUGAAGCUGUUUAGAGAAAGCAGAACAAACCCAACGGAUUCCUACUGGUGGCUCAUUUCAUCUUCUGUGGCCAAUGCCUCCUGCUGUGAGCAGACACAACGGAACAUGGCAAUUGGCCAUCUCUGGUGGCCCAUUUCUCUUGUACCUCUGGAGCCACAGCUCUCUCAGCAAUUGUUUUCAACCCACUCUCCAGUUGGUUUUGUGGUCUUCAUGCCUCUGAGAAAGUCUAUGCGUGACCUUAGGAAAACCCAGGAAUUGUUUGUCAGGCUUCUUCACGCAAAACAGGUAGGUAGGUAACCAAAUUAUUGCAGUGAGAAGUAGGCUACUAGCUGGAAAUGGGCAGGAUGAAAGCCACAUCAUAGCCUCCUGUUGAGGAUUUCUACCUUGGUCUUGGAAAACGACAGCUCUUGUCAGUCUUGUGAGCUUAGACCGAGGUGAAAAUGGUUUCCAUACUUUACAUGGAAUAUCCUAGACCACAUUUAUUUAUCACUGUGAAGUGCUUCAGCAUUGCAUUGAAUGAGACAGGAUGAACAUUAGGAGGAAGUUUUUCACUCAGUGGUGAUGCACUGGAACAGGUUGCCCAAGGAGGCUGUGGAUGCCCCAUCCCUGGAGGCAUUCAAGGCCAGGCUGGAUGUGGCUCUGGGCAGCCUGGUCUGCUGGUUGGCCACCCUUGAAACUAGAUGAUCUUUGAGGUCUUUUUCAACCCAGGCCAUUCUAUGAUUCUAUGAUCCUAUGAUUCUAUGAACAGAUAAAUUCAUUGGUAAAGGAGGUGUUGAGUGAAGUCUAAUUAUAACCUCUCUUUAGAUGUAGACAGUAACGACUAAGACUCUCCUUUGGUGAUGAUCUUCACCUCCUCAUGUGGAAAUUACCUAGCAGAUUCACCCAUAC
rnacentral:lncRNA from 1 species